AUGGCUCAGUGUCUGCAAAUUUCUCAUCCUUAAAUUCCUCCCACCAUUUGUAUUGGUUAUGUUAGUUGCUCUGAGAUCUCUAUUUUAAAGACCGCAUUAGGGUCAGAUAGCUUGUUCUUCUACAUAACAGACUAAAGAGAUUUGCAUGGUAAUGUUUGUGUCAAGCCUGUGUAAUCCUUAUUGGCAUGCUAGGCCAGGCAAUAUGCCCGAUUCUGGAUCCUCAGGGUGCCAGUAGCUCUGGGAAACCCCUCAGGCAGGUCUGCUGACACCCUCACUGCCCAAGAAUUUACUUUAAGUCCAAUAAACAAAUGGGUUUCUUAAUUAUACACAACUAUAUACAGAAAAUAAAUGAUUAAUCGAGAGAAGAAACAUACAUAUAUGUAUAUAAUAUCAAUAGUUAAUAGUAAAACCAACAAUUUGAAUGGAGUUUACAACAGCAACAGUAAAUGAAUAAUUCCACCACACUAGGUGGUCCCACUUGCAUCAAACAGCCUCUAUGAUUUACAUUCACCUAGUUGUAACACUUUAAAACAGUUUCAUCCCCAUAACCCAGGUUGAUUUCCCUCUGGUUAGACUCCCCUUCCCAUAACAAUAAAUGGCAACGCAGCUUUAACUAUGAUCUACCAGUAGGUAUCAGAGGCAAGACUUCUGCGGCUCCGGGGAAGGUGGACUCUCUGCUCUUUUUUGGUAACUCAGCAAAAACAAGGCUCCAAUCAGCCACUGCAGGUAAUAGGUUUCUUUUCUUUAGUUUCCUUCUGAAAAAUACACCUCCUACGAAGUGUAGAGGUUAAGUGUUGCCUCACACACCCAUGCAGAUUUGGGAUUCUCGCAGCCUGCUCCCUCUCUGGGCUGUCUCUCUCCCACAGCACCUUCACAUGCAGACAGGGGAUUCCCUCUCCCAGCUAGCUUACCAACCCCUCUCCACUCUUUCCCUGGGUACCUGUGUCCCUGAUUGCACAGCCCUGACCUGGGUGGGAAAUCAGCUUCUCCUGGUGUGACUCAGGAUCCCCUCUGUCCAGAAGUCUGGUCCCCAACAAGCCUCAUCUCCAUUCCCUCUGUCUGGGGGAAGGAGGGGCUGAGUGUCUGCCCCUCUCUCCAGUCUGGUAUAGCUCUCCUGCCACUUCUCUCUCCACCUGCUUUUCCCUCCCUCAGCUUUUAUGGCUCCACAGUAGCCAGUCAGAGCCCGGAGUUUGCAAUGGGGGCUCUGGUUACAGUUCAAAUCUUCCAGUAAAAAGUGUACAUUGUGCACAGCAUACCUUCCAUUUGGAAAAGAUAUUGCACUCUCUGCAAACUUUUUGCCGCCUUUCUUGCAAAGUUCUUAGGCACAGCUCACCCACUCAGCUUGCAGCCAAGCGAGCCUUUGCAGAUGCUACACCUAUCACUUCUGAGCUUUGUUUCUGUCUUCCUAACAAUAUAUCCAGUCCUGGCAUGGGCCUGGCACAGGUCAGAAAAUUCAUUGCAUCCUCAGGGAUGUGGUUCCAUGUGCUAAACUGAAUUAAAAAGACAUGCACCUUGGUGGUUGUGUGAAACUGUCUCUAUCAGCUCCCAGCCAUUGGAUUUCAUUUGUUUCUGUCUUUUUGCUCCCAGUCACACCAAGACUCAUAGCUAAAUGGAGAUUAAUGCUAGGCUUGUGUUAAUGCUAGAUUCAAGGAGGGGAAUUAGCUACAAAUCUCCUCAUGCUGCAGUGACAACCCUAUAUUCCUAACCAGUUAAUCCAACCCAGGGACAACAGACAGAGCAUUUUUUUCCUUCUAGCUAGUGAGGAGCCUUAGGUCACAAACCCAUAAUACUUAAGAGUGGUUUAAAUGUGGUUUAAACCUAGAGAGCUUUACAGUGGUUUAAGUGUGGUUUAAAUCUGAGGAGGACAGCCAUGCACGCCUGUUAAACCAAUUUAAAUCCAUCUGGAAUGGUUAAAAAAUGUACCUGAAAAAUCAAGUACUAUUUUCAACUUGUUCGCUAUGAACCAGUUUAGUCUCAUGUGUGGACUCCAAGUGUGCCAUGACACAGGACAAGUCAGUCCUCUAGGCAACCCACAUUGCAUUGCUUCUCCCCUCCCACCCCCUGCCCCCGACCACAUACCUACCCCAACCCACCCACCAGAACUCAAUUGUAUGUCUGUCUGCACCCUUAAUUACUGUUCUCUCUCCCUCUUAUGAACCUCUUCAGGAAAGAUAUUUACAGGAAGGUUUCCUUGCAUAGCUCUAAGUUGUAAGAUGCUUCCUGAGCCCACAGGUGGAGGUGUCUUCUGUGACUUGGAUCCGUGCUGUUAAACCAUGUAUAUUUUGAAAAGGAGAGCGGGAACGAGAGAAAGCCGAGGAGACCAUUGUGCUGUCUGUUACUUUUUUGGAAGCUAGCACAGGUUUCCCUCUCUUUUAAGACAGUUUCUCAAAGAGGAAAAGGCUGGUGCCUGGAGUGCAGUGUGGGCUAAAAUGUUUGCCUGACCCGGCUGGCCUCCUCCCAUCCCCAGCAGCAUGUGAGAACCCAGUUUCAGCUGCAUACUGCUCCAAAUGGAACAGACCUACCUGGGUCAGCACCAGCUAGCAGAGGCGGUGGCGGAGCCGUGUGCCACUCGGGACUGACCAGCGCAGGUAGGGGAAAGUGCAGCUGAGCCCCCUGCUGCUCUGGCUGGGCUCAUCCUGUCCCAAGAGGCACGUGGUUACUCCUCUUCCCACACGCACCGCGUCGGCAACGUCAAGCUGACGCGGUGUGUGUGGGAACUUUGUCCCUUCCCUAGCCCUUCAGCAGCCAUUAGGAAGCUGCUGAGGGGCUGGGGGAGGGACAAGGGGUGGGAAUGAAAGUAAACCGUGUUUACUUUUGUUUCCCGUUGCAGCACCGCAGGCCACAGAAAAUGCCUUGGUGGGCCGCAUGGCGGUCCACGGGACGUAUGUUGGACAAGCCUGUUCUAGAGGUUGCACAACAUGGUUGUCUCAUGUGUAGGGCUUGUUGGGAAGCCCCAAUAGACCUCUCCCACUGCAGACAUUGAGCACUGUAGGGCCGCACGUGGUGGGAGAGACAGCCAGUACCUUGAGUGAAGGUAUCUGAAUUGGGCCUGUAGCAAAAGGUAAACUGAUGAUUGAUGUGUGUAAAAACUUUAUUUGCCCUGUUUUGAAAAGGAAAUGCUAUCAAGUCAGUCCUUUAAAAACCAGAGCCACCUAUCCUUAGUCCUGCUACGUUUGGAUGAUAGUGGCUAUUUUAAUGUUGCGAUUGCUUCUAAACUAGCACAUUUUGAAUUCCUUCUUACUUGUCUGCUUAAGGAAUGAAAAGCUACAUGUGUGUUUAAGUGCCUUUCCCCCCCUCCCUCCACUUUUUUGAGGUAGAGUACCAAGAUGGGAAAAAAGUACAACUCCCUCAACUGAUAGAAAAUGAGCAAGGUCAUAAAAUGCAUGCAUAGCUUUGCUGUCACAGCUGAAAGGUGUGGGGCAGGGGGGCAAGGAACAAACCUUUGACUCAAUAUUUAGGAGAAGAUUGUUUGUACCAAUAAUCAGAGCAUGGCUCCUGUAGUCUUGGGUUCCCCCUCUCAGGGCACAUCUACACAUUCAUUAAUAUGCAGUAGUUACUGCACAUUUAGUUUAGUACUUGCUUAAUAAAGUACUAACUAAAUACACAGUAACUAUAGUUACUACACAGUAGUACUGGUGCAGUUUUCUUGUGAUGCUUACUGUGCAGUAGCCUAUUAGCAUGGUUUUUGACUGUCACACUACUGCACAGUGUUAUUAGGCUACUGCUCAGCGAGCAUCUCAUGUAGACGUACCUGCAGAGAGCUAACAUGGCCUAAACUAGGAGAUCAAGUAGGUCCCUUUGAACGAUGCAAGAAAGACCUGCUGUGCUGUGAUCCACAGUGAGACACACACACAUGCACAUGCUCACACUCUCUCUCAUGAAACCAAUAAUUAGUCAACCACUUAAUUUGUCUGAAAUUGUGCAGGGAGCAUGCAAACUGCUUACACAUUUUUUCCACUGAAAUUUGCAAAUGGAUGAAAAAUAAUCGGUGUUAGCCAAAUGUCCAUUGAGCAGUCACACCAUUGCCAUAUAGCCAGAGAGCUAUGCAUGCUCAGACCAGCUUGCUGGAAAUGUUUCUCCCCAUUCUGGUGUGUGCUACUGGUCUUUCUCUUGCACCUGCCCUUUUCUCUUUCUCCUUUCUGGUGGUGGGGGAUAGGGAUGAAUAUUUGAGUGAGUUGAUGUCUAUGUGCACACAUGAGACAGGGUGAGGGUGGUCCAUAACCACCAUUAUCACCCUUCAACUUUUAUUCCAGCUGAUUUUCAAAAUAUUGCUUUAAUGCAUCCUAGGCUUAGUGCCAAAUGUACGUGUUGACUUUGUGCUGAGCUAACCAAGUGUUCUUCCUGCUUACUCCUAGCAUGUACCUCAGGGGGGCAAAACAGUGGAUCUGGCUGGCGGCUGGACUCCA